AAAAUCUCAGAAAACUAACGACUUAUUUUUGUCGACGUCGGGCACCAGUUACAGUUACAGUUUGAAAUUAUAUCUCACCUCGGAUGAACGCGCCCGUUAUGUGUUACCCCGCAACAGCUGACUUAACUGAUUGUUCAAAUCCUCGAAUUUAUCCUGCUCGCUGUCGUUCAUGUUUUUAUUACUUUCCCCUAGUUCUACACAAUCAUUAGCCAUUGGAUCGGUUCGUGAUUUUAGGGAAUAGUAAACGUUAUGAAAAAAUCCAUUGUAUAAUAUAAUUAUAGUGUAUAGUUCAUGAAUCCGAAGUGGUUCAAAAGGAUGUCGCUGUACAGAUUCAGAGCGGCCGCUUCCAGCUCAGCAAAAGUGAAAGCCACUUGACGGUUAAAUUCGUAGUGUGUCCGCUGAUAGCGCUCGGGGACAGAAAAAUCUCAUAGGUCAGAGUCGCUUCCGACUUCGUUACCGUCAACAUUAAACACAACAGCAAGAUACUUGGAAAGGACUUUCUCGUUCGAACAAACAUAAUGGAAGCGUAUUCUACACGCACAUAUUCACUCGGGCCAACCGUGUGACUUAUUUGGAAAAAGGACUCAUCGUCGGUUUCUUGGCAGCGAAGUGAGCAGACAAAAAAGGCAUCGUUUUUUUUCCACAUGAUCGUUCUGAGCAAAAUUCAGCGAUUUGCCAGGCAUAAACCACCGAUGAGACAGUACCCGUUCGGAUUCAGGACGUUUUCCCAUACAUUGUACCCGGUCGAAGCGAUGGCAAGCGAUGCAGAUAACUGGGUCAAAAAGGCGGAGGUUCUGGGAAUUUCUGCACUCGUUAGCGAUCUGAGUAUAACCAAGGACAAGGAAUCAGAACCGGCGACUGACAGUCCAGAGAAAGAGAAUGCGGAAAAACCUUCUAGUCCAUAGCUCCUGAAGAAAAACGAGCUGAAGCGAAUAUGGAGAAACAGCUUCCUCCACGGAAAAUGCAGAGGC